GAGUUUGAUCCUGGCUCAGAUUGAACGCUGGCGGCAUGCCUUACACAUGCAAGUCGAACGGCAGCACGGGAGCUUGCUCCUGGUGGCGAGUGGCGAACGGGUGAGUAAUGCAUCGGAACGUAUCCUGGAGUGGGGGAUAACGUAGCGAAAGUUGCGCUAAUACCGCAUAUUCUGUGAGCAGGAAAGCGGGGGACCUUCGGGCCUCGCGCUCUUGGAGCGGCCGAUGUCGGAUUAGCUAGUUGGUGAGGUAAAGGCUCACCAAGGCGACGAUCCGUAGCAGGUCUGAGAGGAUGAUCUGCCACACUGGAACUGAGACACGGUCCAGACUCCUACGGGAGGCAGCAGUGGGGAAUUUUGGACAAUGGGGGCAACCCUGAUCCAGCCAUGCCGCGUGAGUGAAGAAGGCCUCGG
rnacentral:rRNA from 1 species